AUCUUCCGCAAUGGACGAAAGUCUGACGGAGCAACGCCGCGUGAGUGAUGAAGGUUUUCGGAUCGUAAAACUCUGUUGUUAGGGAAGAACAAGUACCGUUCGAAUAGGGCGGCACCUUGACGGUACCUAACCAGAAAGCCACGGCUAACUACGCGCCAGCAGCCGCGGUAAUACGUAGGUGGCAAGCGUUGUCCGGAAUUAUUGGGCGUAAAGCGGGCGAAGGCGGUUUCUUAAGGCUGAUGUGAAAGACCCCGGCUCAACCGGGGAGGGUCAUUGGAAACUGGGGAACUUGAGUGCAGAAGAGGAGAGUGGAAGUCCACGUGUAGCGGUGAAAUGCGUAGAGAUGUGGAGGAACACCAGUGGCGAAGGCGACUCUCUGGUCUGUAACUGACGCUGAGGCGCGAAAGCGUGGGGAGCGAACAGG
rnacentral:rRNA from 1 species